GUCCGUCGGGUUAUUGUCUCCCCAGAAACAUUUCCGUUGUGUUUUGUGUGCUUUUGCAGCAUUUUUCUUUUUGCAGCGUUUUUCUUUUUGCAGCAUUUUUCUUUUUGCAAGUGUUUUUCUUUUUGCAGCAUUUUUCUUUUUGCAGCAUUUUUCUUUUUGCAAGUGUUUUUCUUUAUGCAGCAUUUUUCUUUUUGCAGCAUUUUUCUUUUUGCAAGUGUUUUUCUUUUUGCAGGUGUUUUUCUUUUUGCAGCAUUUUUCUUUUUGCAGCAUUUUUCUUUUUGCAGGUGUUUUUCUUUUUGCAGCAUUUUUCUUUUUGCAGCAUUUUUCUUUUGCAGGUGUUUUUCUUUUUGCAGCAUUUUUCUUUUUGCAAGUGUUUUUCUUUUUGCAAGUGUUUUUCUUUUUGCAGCAUUUUUCUUUUUGCAGCAUUUUUCUUUUUGCAGCAUUUUUCUUUUUGCAAGUGUUUUUCUUUUUGCAAGUGUUUUUCUUUUUGCAGGUGUUUUUCUUUUUGCAGCAUUUUUCUUUUUGCAAGUUUUUUCUGAAGUUGCAGUCCGUUUGGCCUCUCAGGGCCACCGUAAAAUUU
ensembl:lncRNA